GCUCCCCUAGUAUACUCAAUACAAUUGACUUCCAAUCACUAAAAUCUGGUGCAACCCCAGAGAGGAGCA
rnacentral:tRNA from 1 species